rnacentral:ncRNA from 1 species
AUAUAAAGGCAAAACUGCUGAAAAGUAGUGACGCAAAGCUAUAGGGCCUGUUUUGAUGGUAGCCAGUUGCAGA